GAUGAACGCUAGCUACAGGCUUAACACAUGCAAGUCGAGGGACCGGCGCACGGGUGAGUAACACGUAUCCAACCUGCCCUUUACUCGGGGAUAGCCUUUCGAAAUAAAGAUUAAUACCCGAUGUAAAGGAUGGGGAUGCGUUCCAUUAGGUUGGUGGUGAGGUAACGGCUCACCAAGCCUUCGAUGGAUAGGGGUUUUGAGAGGAAGGUCCACCAAAUUGGAAAGGAGACAAGGUCCAAACUCCUACGGGAGGAAGCAGUGAGGAAUAUUGGUAAAUGGGCGUUAGCCUGAACCAGCCAAGUAGCGUGAAGGAUGAAGGCUUAUGGGUCGUAAACUUCUUUUAUAUAAGAAUAUGUAUUAUAUGAAUAAGGAUCGGCUAACUCCGUGACAGCCCCCGCGGUAAUAC
rnacentral:rRNA from 1 species